rfam:Candidatus Wildermuthbacteria bacterium RIFCSPHIGHO2_01_FTLL_48_27b rifcsphigho2_01_scaffold_19025, whole genome shotgun sequence.
UGUCGGCUCAUCUUAUCCUGGGGCUGGAGAAGGUCCCAAGGGUUUGGCUGUUCGCCAAUUAAAAAGGUACGUGAGCUGGGUUCAAACCGUCAAAAAAGAACCAAAGAUAUCGAGAACACACGGCGGCCUUCACGAGUAAUCGUGAUUGAAAAACCGACUCAUAUCGGUGAACUCCAUAGAAAUUUUUAACCUGGAUUUCUAGGGACAAUACCGAGGGAAGUAUGUAGUAAGGCUUAGCCUUACUCAUACCCCGUAGAGACUUCUCGCCGAAGAGGCGAGAGAUGGAAGCAGAAGCUUUCAUAACACGUCGGUCUUCCUUGAGAAGGAAGGUGGUAUAGUCCGAUCCAUCUGGUAACAGAUGAAAAACAAAAUUAGCGUGAGACAGGUUGGUCCCUAUCUACCGCAGGCGUCGAGUCUUGAGGAGAUUCGUCUCUAGUACGAGAGGACCGAGAUGAACGAACCUCUGGUGUACCAGUUGUCGUGCCAACGGCAUUGCUGGGUAGCUAAGUUCGGAACGGAUAAGCGCUGAAAGCAUCUAAGCGCGAAGCCAACUCCAAGAUGAGGACUCAAAGAUCCCUCCGAGACGAGGAGGUUGAUAGGCUCCAGAUGUAAGUCCUGUAAGGGAUUAAGUCGAGGAGUACUAAUGAUCGUCGCAAUAUUCCU